GACGAACGCUGGCGGCGUGCUUAACACAUGCAAGUCGAGCGGUAAGGCCCUUUCGGGGGUACACGAGCGGCGAACGGGUGAGUAACACGUGGGUGACCUGCCCUCAGCUCUGGGAUAAGCCUGGGAAACUGGGUCUAAUACUGGAUAUGACUCCACGGUGCAUGUCGUGGGGUGGAAAGCCUUGUGCGGCUGAGGAUGGGGCCCGCGGCCUAUCAGCUUGUUGGGGGGUGAUGGCCUACCAAGGCGACGACGGGUAGCCGGCCUGAGAGGGGCGACCGGCCACACUGGGACUGAGACACGGCCCAGACUCCUACGGGAGGCAGCAGUGGGGAAUCUUGCGCAAUGGGCGAAAGCCUGACGCAGCGACGCCGCGUGAGGGAUGACGGCCUGGU
rnacentral:rRNA from 1 species